UCUGUUCUUAGAAACAGGGAGGAGGAUGACAUGAACCAGGUAACCCCCAUCAGGCAGGCAGAAGAGGUAUGAUUCCCCUCACGGUGCAGAGGAGACAGGACUGAGGGCUAAACAUUUGCCCAAGAGUCCAGGGCCAACAAAGAGGAUGUGUGGGGACUCAGUCAGCAAUUUUUAAACGUCGUUUCAUGCUGCUUCCAUGAACAUCACCAAAGGGGUAGAGGCAGGAAAGUUAAUGGAUUGAAGAAGAGCAUGUUCAAAAAAAUCAACUGCCUCCAGUACAGGUGCAAGAAAUGUGACUUAGCGAAAAUAUCUUAAACAAACAAAACACAACACAAAAUGUGGUGUUGGACGACGGUAAGUCACUGCAAACCAGAACUGCUAGAGAAGUUCAUAGAUCUGAGCCUGCCACAGAUUAUUUCUACAUUAACACAUGCAGCUCGCAUGUUGCCUGUGGUUUCUAUGCAGACAUCUACACUCAAAUUUUUAAAUGCUGUGUAUUAUGUUUUUUAAAUUGCUGCAGCACAAAUGACCACAAAUUCAGUGGCUUCAACAGCAUCCGUUUAUGAGCUCAUAGUUCUGUAGGCUGGAGGUCUGAGCAGGGCACGGCUGGCUUUUCUGCUUAGGGCAGCACAAGGCUGCAAUCAAAAUGUUGACUGGUGGGUUCUCAUCUGGUGCUUGGGAUCUGCAUUCCCGUUGUUUCCUUACGGCUGCAGGACUGAGGUCCUGUGUCCCUGCUGGCUGUCAGCCAGGGACUGCGUUCAGCUCCUGGGGGCAACAUGUAGUCCUUGCCACAUGACCUCUUCCAUUGUGAAAGCCGGCAAUGAUUGGCCAGGCACGGUGGCUCACGCCUGUAAUCCCAGCACUUUGGGAGGCUGAGGUGAGUGAUUACCUGAGGUCAGGAGUUCGAGACCAGCCUGACCAACAUGGUGAAACCCCGUCUCUAUUAAAAAUGCAAAAAAGUAGCCAGGUGUGGUGGCAGAUGCCUGUAAUCCCAGCUACUUGGGAGGCUGAGGCAGGAGAAUCGCUUGAACCCAGGAGGUGGAGGUUGCAGUGAGCUGAGAUCGUGCCAUUGCACUCCAGCCUAGGCGACAAGAGCGAAAUUCCAUCUCAAAAAUAAAUAAAUAAAUAAGAAAAGAAAAGAAAAAAAAGCCCGCAAUGGGGCCUCUUCUUGAAGCUGCGUCCCUCUUGUGCUUUCUGUCAGGAAGAGCCCGGUUCCUUUUCUAGGGCUUUACUUGGGUAGGUUGGGCCCAUGCGAGAUAAGUUCUCUUUAACAGAUUUAGGACCAUAAUACAUUUGCAAAAUCCAAAUUCCUUCUCAUCAACACCCACAUUACUGUUUGAGCGAAUAACGGGGAAGUGUGUGCACACCAGGGGCAGGAAGCCUGUAUCUUUGAGUUCUAACACACAUUGGGGCACACUGCUUCCACACCAGGCACUUCUAUGCAUCUGAAGAACUGCAACGUGAUAGCUGAGAAAUGGAGUGCUUCCCCACUUUAUUUAAUGCUUCCCCACCUUUUUUAAACCAGCGGAGUGAAGAUGACGUCAGUUUUAUUCCCUGGGAAACAGACUGAUUCAAUGUACUUUCCUGAAGACCAACAGUGAACAACACCUUCCCCGUCCAAACACUCAGUGUCAGUGAGGAUGUAGGGAAAUGAGCACUGUGCUGAUUUGGUAUAAAUACGCAUAAACUUUCCGGAGGGAAAUUUUGCCCAUGAAUCAAAGACCUUAAAGUAUGGCUGUUACGGCAAACAGUAUGGAAGUUCCUCAAAAAAAUUAAAAAUAGAACAACCAUAGGAUCCAGUAAUCUUACUUCUGAGUACACACCCAAAGGAACUGAAAUCAGGAUCUCUAAGAGAUACCUGCACUCCCACGUUCACUGCUGCAUUAUUCACAAUCGCCAAGAUAUGGAAACACAAGUGUCCAUCAGUGGAUAAGUGGAUAAAGGAAAUGUGGCAUAUACACAAGAUGAAAUACUAUUCAGCCUUUAAAAAGGAGGAAGUCUUGCCAUCUGCAACAACAUGGACCUGGAGGACAUUAAGCGAAGUGAAAUAAGCCGAGCACAGGAAGAGAAACACUGUAUGAUCCCACUUGCAUGUGAACUUCAAGUUGAACUAAUAGGAGAGAGUGGAAUGGUGGUUACGGGGCUGGGGGAUGGAAGUGGGAGUGGGGAGGUAUUGGUCAAAGAAUUCAAAAUCUGUUAGAUAGGAGGAAUAAGUUCAAGAGAUCUAUGGUACCACAUGGUGACUAAAGUUAAUAACAAUAUAUUCUUGGAAAUUGCCAAGACGGUCGAUUUUAAGUGUUCUCACCACAAAAAAUGAUAACUAUGUGAUGUAAUGCAUAUGUCAGUUGGCUCGAUUUGGCCAUUUCAGUGUCUACAUAUUUCAAAAUAUGUUGUACACAAUAAAAAUAUACUAUUUUUAUUUGUCAAUUAAAAAAUAAAUUUUGUAAAAACCUUAAAAAUAUUCAUGCUAUUUUACUCAUGAGUUUCACUUUUAGGAAUUCAAUCCAAGGUAACAAUCAGAAAUGUGUUAAAAGGAUUUAUAUAUAAAAUACCAUGUCCAUUUCAGGGUUUUUUAUAAUGGUAAAAAAAUUAACAAUGACCUAACUACCUUACAUGAAGAGCAGACUGGUUAAAAUUAUAUAUGUAGGUAUAAUGGAAUGUGAUAUACUUUAAAAAAUCAUCAUGUAGAAAAAGUGUUUAAUAACAUAGAAAAUGUUCACAAUAUCCUUGUAAGU
rnacentral:lncRNA from 10 species